GCAGGAACAAAGGGCCAAAUAGGAAAGCAAUCAGAUAGGCUGGGUUCACCUUACCUGCCUGGUCAUUGGGGGCAAGUACCAGACACUGCAGACGAUGGCCCAGCUGGUCAUCAUCCUGAGGAGGUUGCUGCGGAAAACAUCAGGCUGAUGAUGGAAUGGGAUCCUUUCCCCUCUGAUUGAGCUAAUGGCUGCUGCUGCUUCUCAGCUCAGCAAUCUGCCCAAAACAGCAGCAGAAAGCACCCUCAGACAGCUGUUUGCCAAAUCCUGUGCCAAGACUACUUGUUCUCUCAGGUCUGGAAGGACAAGCUCUGAAGGAGGAGGACUUGUGUAGAACAUGCUGAUCUGUGAAGAGGGGAAGUUGCUGGGAACUCUGGCAUCCUGAUCUCAGCCCAUAGCAGCAGCAGAUCAGGAAGCAGCAAUGAGGGAAUUUCAAUUGUAUCUGGAGUGUCCUGCUCACCUUGCAGCUGCCUCUGACAGCAGCUGGAAUCCAGGAUCGCAGAAGAUUGCCUAUGUACUGCCAUCCCAGAAGUCAGGAGAGGAGCUCUGACCUCACAGGAGCUAAGCAGUCUAUGGACAAGGCAGUGCUUGCAAGCCCAGCACAUCUCCAUCCUGACUGCGGCAGCAUCAAACUCAGCCUCCCACCUGAGUCACCAGGCAGGUGCCCUCCCUCCCCACCAACACAGGUGUACUGCUGCCAGCCAGGUCUGGCAGCUCAGGCUGUGUCCCACAAGCUUCCAGACUCUGCCACACUCCCACAUGCUGCCCCUCUGGUUCCCAACACUGGCCUCGAACACUGGGAAAGUAUUUCGAGUAAAUAAUUGCCCUCCAAAAUAUAAUUCUGAAUAGUCAAACUUAACGAGUAAAUCUUCCACUAAAUCAAUGACCAAUUGUGCACGAGUGCUCCUCUAUCCCACCAC